CCAAGGCUUUGAUGACUAGCCGACCUGAGAGGGUGAUCGGCCACAUUGGGACUGAGAUACGGCCCAGACUCCUACGGGAGGCAGCAGUAGGGAAUAUUGCGCAAUGGACGAAAGUCUGACGCAGCAACUCCGCGUGAGGGAUGACGGUUUUCGGAUUGUAAACCUCUGUUAAGUGGGAAGAAUAGGGUAUGUUUUAAUCGGCAUAUCUGUGACGGUACCACUUCAGAAAGCACCGGCUAACUACGUGCCAGCAGCCGCGGUAAUACGUAGGGUGCAAGCGUUGUUCGGAAUCACUGGGCGUAAAGCGAACGUAGGUGGGAAAGUAAGUUAGGAGUGAAAAUUAUCGGCUCAACCGGUAACCUGCUUUUAAAACUGCUUUUCUUGAGUAUGGAAGAGGAAGAUGGAAUUCCAGGUGUAGCGGUGGAAUGCGUAGAUAUCUGGAAGAACACCAGUUGCGAAGGCGGUCUUCUGGUCCAAUACUGACACUGAGGUUCGAAAGCUAGGAUAGUCAACAGGAUUAGAUACCCUGGUAUCCCUAGCCGUAAACGAUGGAUACUAGUUGUUGGGAGAUUUAUUUUUUUCAGUGACGCAGUUAACGCGAUAAGUAUCCCGCCUGGGGAGUACGCUCGCAAGAGUAAAACUCAAAGGAAUUGACGGGGGCCCGCACAAGCGGUGGAGCAUGUGCUUUAAUUCGAUGCAACGCGAAGAACCUUACCUGGUCUUGACAUGUGAAUGCAAUUUUCUAGAGAUAGAGAAGUUUCCUUCGGGAACAUUCAACACAGGUGCUGCAUGGUUGUCGUCAGCUCGUGUCAUGAGAUGUUGGGUUAAGUCCUUCAACGAGCGCAACCCUUAUCCUUAGUUGCCAUCAGGUAGUGCUGGGAACUCUAGGGAGACUGCCUGGAUUAACCAGGAGGAAGGUGGGGAUGACGUCAAAUCAUCAUGGCCCUUACGACCAGGGCUAGACACGUGCUACAAUGGACGGUACAAAGGGUAGCGAGACUGCGAAGUUAAGCCAAUCCCACAAAACCGUUCUCAGUUCGGAUAGGAGUCUGCAAUUCGACUCC
rnacentral:rRNA from 1 species